AAAUUUUGCUUCUUCUUUAUCUCUCGCACAAAGUCUUUCUCUCGGCAAACUGUCUCUCAAAACUCUUGGCCAAAAUUUUGCUUUCCCACAAAGUUUUUCCUGUUGAAUCUCUCCGCAAUCAAACUAUCCUUGCUUUCCCAUUGAAGGGAUGUAAUUCCAUGAUAAAUUUUUGCCCUAAAUUGAUUUCUCUCGGUUGCCUAAAUUUUUGCCCUCUGCCUCUCUCGGCCACUUUCCUCUCCUCUGCUCCCUACCUUUGCCGUCCCGUCGCCCCUACUCUUUCCCUCUCAUCAUCAGGUUUAGGUUCGUCAAAACCAGAAAAUGGAACAACAUGACAUUGAAAAGGACGAGUUCGAAUUCUCCAAAAACAACGAAGCCCUAAUUUUUGGUCCCGCUUCUCAAAUCUCGCGGUUUCGCUACGUCGUCGACAUCGGCUGCUGCAAAUUCUUCUUCAUCCUCAACGGCAUCGUCUCAAUUCACCUACACUACCGGCACGUACUUUCCGACUCCGUUUCACCUACAACAGCCGCAAACCUAUGUCGCUGCUGCCGCUGCCGCUUCAAUUCUGCAAUUUCCUGCUCGUCCUCCUGCGGUUCCCCACGUUUAUCCUGCUCCCGCUACAGUCCCUACCGUGUACUCCCUCCCUCAGUAUCAACAGAUGAUUCUCGUUUGUUCUGUGGUGAUCUUGGUAAUGAGUUGAAUGAUGAUGUUCUAUCCAAAGCAUUUUCAAGAUUUCCAUCUUUUAACAUGGCCAGGGCACCAGUUAGUGAUUGGGAGUACAAUGCUACGCUCCCCAAAACUGCUUCAAUGAUUGAUUUGGCUUCAAAAAUAAUGAUGACUUGUUUAGCACUGACUUAAGUGAGGACCAGCUGAGGCAGAGACUUGGACACAUGUCCCACACACCUUGUCAAGAUUGGCACUAACCUCUACUAAAGCAUAGCUGGACUGCUCCACCUAGAGAUGGCUGAAGGAAGUGGAAAUGAGGAGACAACUCUUGAGCAUACAUCAACAUGGGCAGUGGUAGUUGUUUGUUUCAUCUUGAUGAGCCCAAACAAUGUACUAUAUAUAUACUAUACCUCUCGCGGAUCGUUGCUAAUAUUGUACAAUUACGUUACCUGACUUUUAGCAUUUCUUUCAACUUGUUAGGGAUGAGAGUCUUUUUGUUUGUGCACAAGAAAGUCUUUCAAGUUAUUGUAAAUGAGAAUCUUUCGGUACUUUAUUGGGAUUUUAGUACUUGCUUUGAGCACUUGUUUGCGAUUUUAGUACUUGCUAUGUUUGUACUUGUUAUCGACUUUUAAUUCAAUGAAUUAUAUUUGAGUA